rnacentral:RNase_P_RNA from 2 species
AUGGAUGGUUGGAUGACUACCCCACUUCGCCCGGCUGUUGCCGGGCUUCGAGGGGAGGAAAGUCCGAACACCCGUUUCAUCGCAAGGUGAGACGACAAAGAAAGUCGCUAACGGCGACCAGGUAUACGAAUCAGGGUUCGCGGAAUUGGAGAAAUCUAUUCCAUGGUUCCUGACUCAAAACCUAGGGAAAGUACCACAGAGACAAUACUAGCUCCGACGCCCUUGCGGGGUCGGAGUGAAAGGUGAAAAGUGAGGUGAGGUCGCAGCCAGCUCAGCUGGCACCGGCUACAUCUCUCGCUCCAUGGCGACAUGGAAGCGUGGCAAACCCUUUCUGAUGAAAGAGCAAAUUUGGUAGCUCGAUUGAGUCGUCCAGCAAUGGACGAUCAAGAUAGAUUGUCAUCAGCCCAGCUCAGCUGGGUCCACAAAAUUCGGCUUACAGACCACUCCCUAAG